GUGCCAGCCGCCGCGGUAAUACGGAAGGUCCGGGCGUUAUCCGGAUUUAUUGGGUUUAAAGGGAGCGCAGGCCGGUGCUUAAGCGUGACGUGAAAUGCCGCGGCUCAACCGUGGACGUGCGUCGCGAACUGGGUGCCUUGAGUGAGGACGACGCAGGCGGAAUUCGUGGUGUAGCGGUGAAAUGCUUAGAUAUCACGAAGAACCCCGAUUGCGAAGGCAGCCUACGAGGCCUCAACUGACGCUAAAGCUCGAAGGUGCGGGUAUCGAACAGGAUUAGAUACCCUGGUAGUCCGCACGGUAAACGAUGGAUGCCCGCUGUAUGCGAUACACUGUAUGCGGCCAAGCGAAAGCGUUAAGCAUCCCACCUGGGGAGUACGCCGGCAACGGUGAAACUCAAAGGAAUUGACGGGGGCCCGCACAAGCGGAGGAACAUGUGGUUUAAUUCGAUGAUACGCGAGGAACCUUACCCGGGCUUGAACUGCAGGAGAACGAUCCAGAGAUGGUGAGGCCCUUCGGGGCUCCUGUGGAGGUGCUGCAUGGUUGUCGUCAGCUCGUGCCGUGAGGUGUCGGCUUAAGUGCCAUAACGAGCGCAACCCCUUUCGUCAGUUGCCAUCAGGUCGAGCUGGGCACUCUGGCGACACUGCCACCGUAAGGUGUGAGGAAGGUGGGGAUGACGUCAAAUCAGCACGGCCCUUACGUCCGGGGCUACACACGUGUUACAAUGGGUGAUACAGAGGGCAGGUGCACGGCAACGUGUAUCGAAUCCCCAAAGUCAUCCUCAGUUCGGACUGGGGUCUGCAACCCGACCCCACGAAGCUGGAUUCGCUAGUAAUCGCGCAUCAGCCAUGGCGCGGUGAAUACGUUCCCGGGCCUUGUACACACCGCCCGU
rnacentral:rRNA from 1 species